rnacentral:rRNA from 1 species
AACGAACGCUGGCGGCGCGCCUAACACAUGCAAGUCGAACGAGAAUCCGGGGCAACCCGGUAGUAAAGUGGCAAACGGGUGAGGAAUACAUGGGUAACCUACCCUUGAGAAGGGAAUAACCCGCCGAAAGGUGAGCUAAUACCCUAUACGCUAUCUUUUUUUCGAAAAGGAUAGGAAAGCCGGGUCGAGGACCUGGUACUCAAGGAGGGGCUCAUGUCCUAUCAGCUUGUUGGUGGGGUAACGGCCUACCAAGGCUACGACGGGUAGCUGGUCUGAGAGGAUGAUCAGCCACACUGGCACUGAGAUACGGGCCAGACUCCUACGGGAGGCAGCAGUGAGGAAUAUUGCGCAAUGGGCGAAAGCCUGACGCAGCGACGCCGCGUGGGGGAUGAAGGUUUUCGGAUUGUAAACCCCUUUCAUGAGGAAAGAUAAGGUGGGUAACCACUUAGACGGUACCUCAAGAAGAAGCCACGGCUAACUUCGUG